UGCUGACUAAAUUGAGGUUGAUGAAUGGUUUUCUUUCCAUAACCGAAACAUUCGAGCUAGUUCUUCAUCAGAUUUCAUUAUCUUAGAACCUGAUUGAGGGUUUUCUUCUUUAAUUGAAGAUGGUUGCACAUAUUAGGACACAAACAAGAAACCACUUGUGUAGAGUCGAUGAGGGAGGUAAGUCUGCAACCAAAGCAGGGCCAACACCGAUUCAGAUCAAUUUCAAGGAAAAACCUAAAGUAAUCAAAAAGAAAGUUACAUCAAGCAGAACCCUAAAUUUCAGAGCGGUGUUAGGAGAGAAAGUUACACCAAGAAGUAAUCUCAUGUGGUCUGUAAGGUUUUGAUUGGAGAAAAACGGCGGUGAGAGCCUUAAUGACACCAUGUGGAAAGCACUUUCUCAAACCAAGAAGAGGUAAAGGAACUAUAACACGAAGCUGAUAGAUUUUGAAAAAAAAAAAAUACAGCCAAUG
rnacentral:lncRNA from 1 species